rnacentral:piRNA from 1 species
UAGGAGUUAGAAGAAACAGGGUGAACAC